CAUAGUGCACAAAAAAAAUAACAAAGCAGCACAAUUUUUUGUUUUACAUGGCUGUGGUUUUUAAUAUAGAGGAAUACAAUGGCACAGUUGUGUCUCACCCACAAACCACAAACACACAUGGGCUCAGGUUAAGUCAAACUGCAAGCCACUGUCCUGGGAACAAAGUGCAGACACCUGCAUUUCUAACGGCAGUGGUUUUGGCUGUGUGAUUAUAAUAAAAAUGAUUACCCUCAUUUCGACAGUGCAUGGCCCAGUAGUCUCAAAGCCAUAUGUUCCUCCUCCUCCUGCUCCUUUCUCCCGCUUUUACUGUGUGUUCUUCAAGAGUUCGAAGAAGAGUGGAAAAACUGUGAGAGGAGAAAAACAUGCUCAUGGCUGAGUAUCUGUCCUUCUCUUCCUUUUUGUAUGAGAGAGAGUGAAAGAGGCAGCGGCACAUACAGCACAGCGGUUGGCAGCCUGCAGUACUUCCUCAUCCUGGCUGUUGUGUUGAGACAGACAGCCGCUGCUCCUGACCCUUUUCGCCCUCAGACUCUUCAUACAGCUCAGCAAAGGACGGAUAUUUUGGUCUGUUGUGCUUCAGGGCACUCAGGCAGAGGGCAGUCUCUAGGACAGCGUCCAGUGACAAACACGUGUAGUUAGCUGACGCGCAGCCAUGAUGAAAUCGGGCGCCACCAAGGUGGGGCUGCCCAAGCCGGGACUCCAGAAGCAGGUCUCCUUGGCCACCUCUUCCUCCACCGCCUCCUCCACAGCCAUGAAGACAUCCAGAUCAUCCAACACACUGGCCUCAGACCAGCGCCUUAGCAGGCUGAAAAGAGCCAGCAGUGACGAUGCCUUGACAAAGCCUGCACUGGGAGCUGCUGCCUCUGGCUCCCGGAUGAAAAAGACUGUGACCACUGGAGCCAUCUCAGAUCUUGCAGAGGGCCGUCCUCGCAGCCUGUCUGGUGCACAAGCGGCCAAGAAGUCUGGUAUUCCAGCUCCUAGAGAAAUCCCUUCCACCAUAACAAGAGACCGCAUCUCUCUGAGGGACCAGCUUAGGAGCUCCACCACUAAGAGGAUGGUUUCCAGUGCCAGCACUUCCAGCCUCUCCACCCUGGCAAAGCAGACACGUAGUUCAACCAAGUCCCGUGGAGACGCAGAGAGCCAGGAAAAGGGCCUUCUGGAGUGCCAGGUGAAAGAGCUGCUGGCUGAGGCCAAGGCCAAAGACUUAGAGAUCAGCAAUCUCAGGAUGGAGUUGCAGCGCUGCAAAGGUAAAGCCUCCACCGCUCCCUCCUCACCGUCAGCCAACUCUGUCGCAUGGCAAGAGCCGGCUGCAGAUCGGGAGCAGGAGCAAGUGGCGGAGGCCCUUGUACUGGUUGGGGAGCUGAGGGAGAAGAACGGGAAGUUUCAGAGAGAGCUGGCAGGGCUUAGGGAGGAGAACCAGGCGCUGAAGGAAAAACUGCUUUCCUUGGAGGCCUCUCCUCUCUCCAGUACAAACACAAGCAGCCCUUCCAAGCCUUUGGUGAAUGGACUGCCCUCAGACUCCAACUCCUCAACUCAGCAACAGGACAGUCUUCCUUCCACUGCCAGCCCUCUCAAAACCUCUGUCUCCUCUGGUUCUGACAUCACCAAGGACUCACCAUCACCCGACUCCUCAGAGUUUGAGAAGAUCCCGUCGCGUUCAGAGUCAGUGAGUAGCGGUGUUAGUGCGGAAGCCGUUACAGCGGGGGCAGUGACCAAUGCAGGAGGGCAGGAUGUGUCAGUGCAGAGCCUGACCGAAAGGAUUCACAAGAUGGAGGAGAGCCACCACAGCACAGCCGAGGAGCUGCAGGCAACUGUGCAGGAGCUGGCUGACCAGCAGCAAGUGGUGCAGGAGCUGACAGCUGAGAAUGAGCGUCUGGCCGAGGAGAAACGCCUCCUGCAGACCUCGCUUCAACAGCAGAGAGAGCGCCUGGAGGUGCUGGCCCAGAAGAAUGAAGCACUCACUGGCCGACUUCAGGAGCAAGCACAAGCUCAGGCCAAGAGGGAGGAGGAGCUGGGUAGCCAAGGGCCUCGGCUGGCCGAGCUGGAGCAGAGGUAUGCCGAGCUGGUCGAGAGCUCGCGCUUCGAACGGGAGAAGCUAGUGGACAUCCAGCAGCAGCUGACAGGCAGCCUGCGGGCUCUGGAGGAGGAGCACCAGGAGGCGCAGGGCCAGGUGCGCUGCAUCAAAGAGGAGAUGGACAGACUGCAGACCCAGCUGGACAGGGAGGUGGAAGCUGGAGGUCAGGCAGCACAGGUCGCAGAGGAACAGAGGGCAACAGCAGACUGUCUCAGACUGGAAAACAGUAGGCUGAAAGCGCAGGUGGACAUUGAGAGGCAAAAGGUGGGUGAGCUGAAGGCCAUGCAGAGCGCUGGUGACAGCAGUGAAGUGCAGAACUUGCUGAAAACAGCCCACGCUGAGAGAGACAGGCUGGAGGUGGAGCUGACAGAGCUGAGGCAGGAGCUGCUACAAGCCCAGGCCGAGACUGAGCACGUGCAAGCCACAAUGUCCAAGACGGAGGCCAAAUGCCAGCAGGUUCAGGAGCGGGCUGAGAGGAGGGAGCAGGAGCUCAGCAGCCGGGUGACUUCACUGGAGGAGGCCGCGAUUCACACUGAGAACCAGGUGAAGGAGCUGAAGGAGACCAUCUUCGAACUGGAGGACCAGGUGGAGCAGCAGAGGGCCGUCAACUGCCAUACCAACCAAGCCGUCCUGGACAUGGAGAAUCUUGUCAAAAAGCUGGAGGAGCAGAAAUCUGACGCAGACCGACAGCUGAAGGUCAUGAGUAGACAAAUGAAGGAUGAAAAAGAGGAGUGGCGUCGGUUCCAGGCGGACCUCCAGACCGCAGUGGUGGUUGCCAAUGACAUCAAGGUGGAGGCUCAGCAGGAGCUCCGUACACUCAGGAGGCAGCUGCAGGAGGAGCAGGACCGCAGUGCAAAGCUUUCAUCAGACCUCGAGGCCCUGCAGGGAGUCAGAUUAGCUGUUACGCUGCGUCCGCUCCCCACCUCCAGCAGCUCCCUGUGAUGACCCUGUCAAAGAUGUCCCUCUGACAAGCCUCCCUGUGUAAAGUCCAGGAUAAGCACCGGAGCCACUUUUGAUACCAAGACGGCAGUAGAGGGGCACUAGAGAAGAGCCCUCCACCUCGUGAAGACAGUGUUAUUGUUGCACUUAUUAUUUUUCAGUGUCAUUUAAAAUGUAACGUGGUAAACCAGACUCAUUGUAAGCCACAGUGACCAGUGUAGAUGCAGUACACAAAGAGGUUUGUGAUGCAGAGUCUGGCUUCCAUUUCUCUACAUGUCUUUUGGUAAGGAAGCAGAGAACGGCAGUGCUUUAAUGCCAUUAUCUUGAGGCAACAAUAAUUUUUCUGUUAUCAUGUGUAAACAAGAAGUUGUUACCUCUUGUAAUAUUAAUCACAGAUCAGGAGCACCAUGGCAGCAUGCAUAGAUGGCGUCAUGACAACUGAUUAAGGCUGACAUUGUCAGAUCAAGGAGUACUGAUUACUGAUCAACACAUCAGACUGUACUUCAGGCAGGUAUCGCAUUGUGCCUUUUUUUUUUUUUAGAUAGAGAUAACAUCAAGAUCAAUCAUCCUCAUUUAUGAUUCCCCCCAACAACAGGGUUGGGUACUUAACUUCGUACUUUUAUGGAUACCAACUAAAUAAUAUCAGUACUAUUGAGUACCAAUUCACAUUAAAUCAAUCUGUGCCAAAUUUUGAUACCUGAGAGCGCAUCUGCUUGAGAACGCCAAGUUCAGACAGUAAGCAGAAGUGACCCUAACCAUUACUGGCUCCGCUGCCUGCAAUGCAGUUAUGUGAAACAGCCAGGUUUAACUUUAGAUGGAAGGUAGAAGCUUAAAAGAAGCCGGCAGAAAUGCUCCAUGGUCGGCUUCUCUGUGCUUUGUGCCUGGCAAUCAUGCUCCAUGGAGCAGCUAGGUUUAGGGGGUGGAAGUGCUCAGAAGCUGUAAAGCUCAGGCACCAGCAGAGCUCCAUCAGCUUCCCAGCGAGCUGAAACUAUCGCUGCAGCACCAAUCUGCACUGAUAGUUUCAGCAUUUGGUCUAUUUUCUUUUGUAUUUUAUUUUAGAAAUUACCAAGUGUCACCGCUGUUUGUGAUUAUGUGCCUAUUCCACAUAUUUGUCAGAUGUGUCUAAACAGAGAGUGAGAGAAACGAGCAGACACACAGAAAGACAGACAUAGGAUUAGCUCUAAGUGUGAUUAGCAAAGGUUGUCUGCUACAUCAAGAGUACCAAAGAUAGUUACUGUUGGGUAGCGGCACUGAAGUCCAGAUACAAGAACCGGUAUCUAUUCAAUGUGAAUGGUACCCAGCCCCACUCAGCAAUCCUGAAUCAUGACAGUGAUCUUUAAGGCCGAAAUCAGGUGUGAUCAAAUGAGCCAGACACUAUUUUUCUCCAUAAUCAUCUUGAGAUCUCCAGACAACAAAAGUUGCUUUCUUGUGAUAAAUGAUUUCAUUAUCUCGAGACAUUAGCCUUUUGUUUACUCAAGAAUCAACAUAAAGUAACCCAUUAUCAUGAGAACACGAGCUCAAGAUAACAAAAUAAUUUACUCAUGAUCUCGAGAUAACAGCAUUAGAGAGAUAACUGCAAGCACUGUUGUUCUCUGCUUCCGUAUUUUGGAACCUUUUAAAUGAUAAUUCUGUAUUUUUCUUUCUCAUUGAAUGUAUUGUUUGUUUGUACAUUUCUUGACCUGUGUUGAAGAAAUGCAAUAUGUUUGAAAGACUCUCCUCUUCAUACUGUGCGAUGCUGAUUUGUGCCUUUUUUUUUAGAGAGUUGAGAUGGUACAGUAGAGGGUGAUGACCUGCUUAAAAAGCAGGAUGAAGCAGAAAAAAGACUUGAUGAAUAUUUAGUCGACGGCAAAGCUGAAACAGUUAAGAUUCACAGCAUUCUGCCAGAACGAAGAAAAUCUGAAAAUCCUCAUUUCAAGGCAAAAGCAAUGCAGCAGAGUCCACUUGAUAUUGUUUUAAAAAAAGGAGGUGGCUCAUGGUUUUUGUGCUGGACCUCACAUUUGCUUUUAUUUCUGUGUCAGUGAAAUUACUCUCACUUUGACCUCCGUCUGCUUAUUUUUCAACGUCAUUUCAGUUUAAUAUUUAAGUUUAUGGUCCUGUAAUGAAACUGAAUGCAGUGUCGUAUGUAGCCAUUAGAUGGCACCAUUGAACACACAACUGCCAUCCAUACUGUAGGAGACAUCAAUGUGGACAUACUGGUAUCAUCUGCUCUGUUACUGUCAUCUGUGUACCUUUUGAUUAUUGCUAUGUUACUCUUAAAUCUACAGAGUAUUAACUCUUUCUGCCAGAUUAAAUAACCAGGUCCAGAACACUGCCAAAAUUAGAUUUUACGACUGCCACAAACACAAACUGCUGUACCUGAGAGUUACUCCUACAACAUACCAAAAGGUUGAUGGUCCAUUUUAACACAAAGACUAUAAUGACAGAUUCCUCUCAAAGCGCCACUGUCGGAUGAAAAGUCGAACUUCUUUUUCUCAGCAACGUUACUGACAAGUUAAUAUAGAAACCCUUUUUAUCUGAACCUCAGAGGUCACUGACACCUGCUGAUCGAUCUUGAAUCACUAUGUUUAACAUAUUUAGUGUAUUUCCUCAGCACUCUUUAUAUUAAUGUACCAGAUCUUCAGAUUUUGUGAUGUCACUCACUUUGACAGAAAUAUCACAUGGUUGAUUUAUUUCAUCUUUGAGCCAAACCCUUACACACAAUGUUCUCUGUUGUCAUACAGCAUAAUGGCGUAUUGCAGCAGGAUCUCAGGUUCUCCUCAAAAGUCCAUCAGAGAUGUUCAAUUUGUGCAUUUUCUCUUUUUUUAAUUAAAAGCCAUAUUGUUCCGCCAGGUGAAAAGGUACUGGUGCUCAAAAUGUAAACAUUUGGAUAUGCUCAAACAGAAAAGAUGAGAUGUGUAAUUGGUCAUUUUCUUACUAUAGUGAAGCCGUUUAAAGGUCCAGUGUGUAAGAUUUAGGGGGUUUAAGUUGUUUCAACCAGCUGAAACUUUAUCUGGUUAGAAUUCCUAUAGUGUUAAUUGUUCUGUGUUUUUUUAAUGGGAGCUGAAUUAUCCACAGAGGUCUCUUCCUCUCAAAAACAAAUGGACCCGGUGAUUUAAACCGGCAGUAACACUGAAUAUAGCAGUUUCAUGUUACAAAUCAGGGCUGCUUCGACACUGUUUGGCACAUUGCAGACAACCCGCUAGCCCAGCACCUACUAGUCUGUGCUCACUGUAUGUCAGAUCCAGACAUUUAAAGCAGUCUUUACUGUGAGUUGAAUUAUCCGUAGAGGUCUCCUCCUCUCCAAAACAAACAAACCCAGUGAGUCAAACCAGUAGAAACACUGAUAAAAGCAGUUUGACAGUAAAAAAAAUAUCUGUGUUUUUUGUGGAGGGGCACUGACUAAGGUGGCUGACGCAAAAAUACAAAUGGCCCUAUCUAGAGCCAGCGUUUGCUUCAUCCAUUCUGGGCUACUGUAGAAACAUGGUGAUCUCCAUAGUCGAGGACCUGCUCCCUACGUAGAUAGAAACGGCUCAUUCUAAAGUAACGGAAACACCACAAGUCUUAUUUUGAGGUGAUUAUACACUAACUCAGUGGUUCCCAACUGGGUCCAGAUUUCUCUUCAGUCUUUAGUUCAAGGUCCAUACUUGUAUUUGGCCAUGUCUUAAGCCAGUUUACUGUCUCUGUUAAGUAGCUGUUUGUUAUUCACUCACUCUACAGCAGGAAACAGCACUUCAAAGUAAAAGCUCGGUGCUGGAAAUCCACUGCACUUAAAAAUAAAGUGUGUUUUUUGCAAAGUUGACAUGUUAGCAGGUCACUUGUCGUCCAUUCAGGAUGGACCUGCAACCCACCAGUAGGGAACCACUUAAAAGAAAA